AUUUUCAUCCACUGAGUUGCCGAUCGUUGCCUUCCAGCGCCGUCGAAUUUCUCAAGAUGUUUACGGCCCUGAAAAAGAUCCACAAGGAUAAGGAUGCUGAAGCCUCGGAGUUCGAAGAGACUGUCGCGCAGGCACUCUUUGAUUUGGAAAACACCAAUUCGGAGCUGAAAAGUGACCUUAAGGAUCUGUACAUCAAUUCAGCGCUUCAAGUUGAUGUUUCUGGAAACAGGAAGGCCGUUGUUAUCUAUGUUCCCUUUAGAUUGAGGAAGGCUUUCCGCAAGAUUCAGUUGAGGCUUGUUCGUGAGCUAGAAAAGAAGUUCAGCGGAAAGGAUGUGAUUCUGGUCGCUAACCGAAGAAUCUUGAGACCUCCAAAGAAAGGGUCAGCAGUUCAAAGGCCUCGCACCCGUACUCUUACUUCUGUGCAUGAAGCUAUGCUAGAAGAUAUUGUUUUGCCUG
rnacentral:misc_RNA from 1 species